rnacentral:rRNA from 1 species
CACGGGGGGGAGCAAGCGUUGUUCGGAAUCACUGGGCGUAAAGGGCGUGUAGGCGGUCAAGUAAGUGGGAUGUGAAAUCCCUCGGCUCACCCGAGGACCUGCAUCCCCAAAACUGCUUGGCUUGAGUAUGGGAGAGGAUGAGGGAAUUCCUGGUGUAGCGGUGAAAUGCGUAGAUAUCAGGAGGAACACCGGUGGCGAAGGCGCUCAUCUGGCCCCAAUACUGACGCUGAGGCGCGAAAGCUAGGGGAGCAAACGGG